CUUGGUGUAAUUCUAUUUUUUCUUUCUGCCAAGCUGGUAAUAUCAAUAGAAGAGCUGUAGAAACAGAGAAAUAUUUCUGCCACUGCUGAUGAGUUUAAUGCUGUGUCUUCCAGUCCUAGAGAUGUACAGCAAACUGAGGGUCCAGAUGAAAAGCAAAAGGUCUAAUUGAAGACAGAUUCAACACACAAGUGGAAGUAGAAAAGAAGAUGAUGCAGCCUGCCCCCAUCACAGCCCAGGAUAUCAGAGAACAGGAAAGCCAUCAUGAAUGCCUGAAACUUACUGAAGCCCAAAGAGAAGGCUCCAUGCAUACCAGGGAAUGGGCCAUGAUUGCGUUAGGUGCUCUCAUAGACUUCACUGUCAUACAUCUAUUGUUGUACCCAAACUCCGGACCCCACAAAAUUCUACCAAGAGACCAAAUCUGAUGCAAAAACAAAAGAGCCUUUAUUGUGAGUUAACUGGGGCCUCUCCCUCCAUUUGAGGCUGAAACAAAGCAGGAGAAAUCCUGAGCAGCAUGGGGUGAGGGCUUUAACAGUGGCUAGACAAAAGGGGCUUGGGGUACUUCAAAACUGCAUAGUUACAGACUUGGGAUUGGCUCAAGCCCUAGUUUGGGUAUCUGGACUGAGCUAGCUGGCUAUUUUGCUACUAGGUAUUGCAACAUUUUAGUCUCAGCAGAACAACAUCUGGAGUUGUUUGUUCCUUCCUGAUUAGCCUUUCCUUGUUGGUGGUAGUUGUUCAUGGUUCUCUCUGUAACUAGGGUUAAGGUCAGGGGCAGUGGGGGGUUGGGGGUCAGGCAUCCUGCUCAGGUCUUUUUGCUAUGGCUGUAGUUCUACAGAGGCUGUCACUUUUAGCAUCUGACUCAGACACCUCUCUGAACUUCUCUGUUUACAGGAUUCUCUUUGUGGUGCCAGCUCAAAGGCAGUUUGCAAUAGGUUUCAUUAAUUUCCUAGGAAGCGUUUGACUGCACACCCAGCAAUUGGUCAUAGCUGUUCUUUGUGGUGGAAGGGACUGGGUGGGUUGACCCAGUAGGCCUGCAAUAACACACCCCACCCCUAAGGAUGGGAGAGGUGUCUACAAGAACUCAAUUGUCACACUUAUUAUCCUUCUGAUUUAUGUGUU